GUGAAGAACGUAGCGAAAUGCGAUACGUAAUGUGAAUUGCAGAAUUCAGUGAAUCAUCGAGUCUUUGAACGCACAUUGCGCCCCCUGGUAUUCCGGGGGGCAUGCCUGUCCGAGCGUCAUUGCUGCCCUCAAGCACGGCUUGUGUGUUGGGCCUCCGUCCUCCUCCCGGGGGACGGGCCCGAAAGGCAGCGGCGGCACCGCGUCCGGUCCUCGAGCGUAUGGGGCUUCGUCACCCGCUCUUGUAGGCCCGGACGGCGCUUGCCGAAACAUCAAUCUUUUUUCCAGGUUGACCUCGGAUCAGGUAGGGAUACCCGCUGAACUUAAGCAUAUCAAUAAGCGGAGGA
rnacentral:misc_RNA from 1 species